UACGUAGGGGGCAAGCGUUGUCCGGAAUCAUUGGGCGUAAAGCGCGUGUAGGCGGCUCGGUAAGUCUGCUGUGAAAGUCCAAGGCUCAACCCUGGAAAGCCGGUGGAAACUGUCGAGCUAGAGUCCGGAAGAGGCGAGUGGAAUUCCUGGUGUAGCGGUGAAAUGCGCAGAUAUCGGGAGGAACACCAAUGGCGAAGGCAGCUCGCUGGGACGGUACUGACGCUGAGACGCGAAAGCGUGGGGAGCGAACAGG
rnacentral:rRNA from 1 species